GAAUCGUGUAGAUCCGAUGAGAAAAGUUUGGGGGUGGUGUGUUAUGAUCACUACUGGCUGUAAGCGAACAAGUGAUGCGCGUUUGGAGCAAUACUGGCUGUAUUCAAGGCUCAGCCAAUCUUUCACAUAACAACAGAAUGCAGCACGCGACUGAAGAGAGGAGACAACCAAUUGGCUCUAUUCUAUGCACUAUACCGCCUCCAACGUUCUAAUUUACUUCCUACCGGGUUGAUGACUUCCGGAGCGAUUUCUGCUAUUGUUUUUAUCAUUAGCUUGCUAGCUAUCUAACUGUUGUCGAUGCAUUUCUGACUGAAAUAGUUCGCAAUGACGUUUAAAUUACAGCCCCGCGAAUGAGGUGCUAAUGAACAUUGUUCAGUUUCUUCCAAAUGUAAUGGUAUUGUGAGCUUCCAUGGUUUCCCGGUCGAUGAAGAGCUCAGAGAAAAAGGUGGUUGGUGGCAGUACGUCGUGACAACUUUACUGUCACCUAACACACAAAAGUGUGUAGUACACAUUUCAUCGAGAGUGACUUUGUUGAGGGAAAAAUUGGGGGGGGGGGCGAUAAUACCUAAAAAGAGGCUUUGUUCUUACAGUCUUCGCGUGGAACUGGCACAUUCAAAAGAGACCAGGUGUUUGGGAAAGAAGACUGAAACCUUCUGCUCCGACUGAGGAGGAUGAAGAACAAGGUGCGCUGCCUAUGGACUGUGCCGUCUCUGAUCAGGACCAGACACAUGAUUACUGUGCAGUCCCUGAACCCGCAGCCCUUGACAUGGCCCUAAUGGCAAACCAUGAGCAUGUAAAAUAAAUUAAGGAGCUUCGAGCCAAGCUGGAGAAACUGACCGCUCAAAACGGCUUUGGUCUACAGCGAUUUGCUGGUUCUGACGAGGAUAUACAUUUUUACACAAKAUUUGCAAUCUACACCCACCUGAUGGCCUUCUGGCACUUGAUUGAGCGGGCAGCAGAAACCAAGUUUAUAAGUCACACAAGCACCAAUCCAUCUGAAACAAGUGUUACUCGAAGAAAACUGUUCAGACACUGCCAUCAAUCGACGAGUUCUUCUUGUUUAUGACUCAUCUGUCGCUGGGUCUGAAGCAGAAGGAUUUGGCCCAUCGGUUCAGCAUCCACCAAUCGACAGUGAGACGGAUUAUCAUCUCUUGGGCCAACGUCCUCUACUGUCUGUUUGGAUCAGCACGGAUAUGGAUCCCCAAGGAAACCAUCAAAGCCCACCUGCCACCUGAGUUCAAGGACUAUCCAGACACCCAGGUAGUGAUCGACUGCACUAAACUCCGCUGCCACACCAUCUUCACUACUACUGCAGAGUGAGGUGUUUUCUUCCUACAAGUCACACUGUACCUUUAAGGGCAUGUUGGGUAUGUUACCACAUGGAGCUGUCACUUUUGUGUCAUCGUUGUAUGCUAGAUCUGUGAGUGACAAGGAGAUCUUCAAGCAGUCUGGAAUUAUUKCCUUACUCACCCGACAUGGCCAUUAUGGUGGAUAAGGGCUUUCUCGUAGAUGACAUUGUUCCAUGCAAGGUCUACCGGCCAGCCUUUCUGUCAAGACGCACACAGAUGCCAGYGCAUGAGGUUAGGGAGACCCAAUCCAUUGCCAGGCUGAGAGUGCAUGUUGAAUGAAUGAUCUGCAGAGUAAAGGAGCACAAGCUGUUUGACACAGUCAACCCCUGACCAUCUCAGGCAGCAUCAACCAAUUAUUUGCAGUGGCGUGUAGUGAAUAUCAAUUUGUGUGGAGCUUGUAUUGGGUUUAAUUAGGCAAUGAGUUUAGGGGUGGGGGAAAGAAAUCAASUAAACACAGAAUAGCCAGAAUGCAAGAUUGAAUACAAUGUAAGAGAUGUGUAAUUGAUUAACUGAACUGUUGAACAUUUGCUGAAAUAUUUUUUUUUUUAAACAAAUCUAUUCUGCUGUAGUUUUCUUCACAAGAACAUCAAUACUUAUUUUUCAUGAAACAACUAAACUUGGCACCCAUGCUGGGGAUUCAUUCAGGUGCAAGAGACACUUCUGCAAGUAGUGGUAAAAAUAAAAGUGGUCAACCUUC